AAGUCGUAACAAGGUUUCCGUAGGUGAACCUGCGGAAGGAUCAUUUCCAAAAAAACAAACAAUCAAAAAAUCCAAGGUGUCUCUUCUUGCCCCUAGGGGGAUUGAGAAGAGUGCCGAAGUGUGAAUAGUGCCUUUUAUAUUUUUUUACCCUUGUUCACUUUACUGUGCACAAGGGCUGUUUAUGUUACUUCUCGUAAGUAAUAUAAGCAACCUUCCUCUUGGCGGAGAGGGCUGGAAUUUAUUCCAUCCUCUCUUUCCAUUAGAAAGAACCACAACAGCACAAAGAAUCCAAAUUGGUAAAUUUUGUUCAUAUACUGAUACUUUGAGUUUACACUUUAAGUAACGAAUAAUGAAAAAACAACUUUUAACUGUGGAUCUCUUGGCUCGU
rnacentral:misc_RNA from 1 species